rnacentral:rRNA from 1 species
UUUAUGGAGAGUUUGAUCCUGGCUCAGAGUGAACGCUGGCGGCGUGCCUAAUACAUGCAAGUCGAACGAUGAAGCUUCUAGCUUGCUAGAAGUGGAUUAGUGGCGCACGGGUGAGUAACGCAUAGGUCAUGUGCCUCUUAGUUUGGGAUAGCCAUUGGAAACGAUGAUUAAUACCAGAUACUCCCUACGGGGGAAAGAUUUAUCGCUAAGAGAUCAGCCUAUGUCCUAUCAGCUUGUUGGUAAGGUAAUGGCUUACCAAGGCUAUGACGGGUAUCCGGCCUGAGAGGGUGAACGGACACACUGGAACUGAGACACGGUCCAGACUCCUACGGGAGGCAGCAGUAGGGAAUAUUGCUCAAUGGGGGAAACCCUGAAGCAGCAACGCUGCGUGGAGGAUGAAGGUUUUAGGAUUGUAAACUCCUUUUGUUAGAGAAGAUAAUGACGGUAUCUAACGAAUAAGCACCGGCUAACUCCGUGCCAGCAGCCGCGGUAAUACGGAGGGUGCAAGCGUUACUCGGAAUCACUGGGCGUAAAGAGCGCGUAGGCGGGAUAGUCAGUCAGGUGUGAAAUCCUAUGGCUUAACCAUAGAACUGCAUUUGAAACUACUAUUCUAGAGUGUGGGAGAGGUAGGUGGAAUUCUUGGUGUAGGGGUAAAAUCCGUAGAGAUCAAGAGGAAUACUCAUUGCGAAGGCGACCUGCUGGAACAUUACUGACGCUGAUUGCGCGAAAGCGUGGGGAGCAAACAGGAUUAGAUACCCUGGUAGUCCACGCCCUAAACGAUGGAUGCUAGUUGUUGGAGGGCUUAGUCUCUCCAGUAAUGCAGCUAACGCAUUAAGCAUCCCGCCUGGGGAGUACGGUCGCAAGAUUAAAACUCAAAGGAAUAGACGGGGACCCGCACAAGCGGUGGAGCAUGUGGUUUAAUUCGAAGAUACACGAAGAACCUUACCUAGGCUUGACAUUGAGAGAAUCCGCUAGAAAUAGUGGAGUGUCUGGCUUGCUAGACCUUGAAAACAGGUGCUGCACGGCUGUCGUCAGCUCGUGUCGUGAGAUGUUGGGUUAAGUCCCGCAACGAGCGCAACCCCCUUUCUUAGUUGCUAACAGGUCAUGCUGAGAACUCUAAGGAUACUGCCUCCGUAAGGAGGAGGAAGGUGGGGACGACGUCAAGUCAUCAUGGCCCUUACGCCUAGGGCUACACACGUGCUACAAUGGGGUGUACAAAGAGAAGCAAUACUGCGAAGUGGAGCCAAUCUUCAAAACGCCUCUCAGUUCGGAUUGUAGGCUGCAACUCGCCUGCAUGAAGCUGGAAUCGCUAGUAAUCGCAAAUCAGCCAUGUUGCGGUGAAUACGUUCCCGGGUCUUGUACUCACCGCCCGUCACACCAUGGGAGUUGUGUUUGCCUUAAGUCAGGAUGCUAAAUUGGCUACUGCCCACGGCACACACAGCGACUGGGGUGAAGUCGUAACAAGGUAACCGUAGGUGAACCUGCGGUUGGAUCACCUCCUUU